rnacentral:lncRNA from 1 species
AACUCCUUGAGUAUGCCAUGAUUCUCAGAACUUUGCAAAAGUUACUUCCCUCUGCUAAGGAGGGCCCACCCCUUCUUUAUCUAACUUGUCCUUCAAGAUUCAGCUUCAAUGCUACUGCUUUCAGAAAGCCUUCUUGGACAAUUUAAUUUGAUGAAACAGACACUGAGACAAGUCAGUUUUUUCGGAGAUGGUGGCAGGAAGCAGAAGUGAAGGAGCAAGAAAAGUGAAACAGGGAAAGGAGGAAAGCCACACAUUGGAAGUCAAUGUCAAGGAGCAGAUCAUCACAGGAAGCAAGUGUGGCUCAGUCCUGCUGGGAUCCCCUGAGUAAUCAAAUAGAACAUUGUUCAGAACAGUCCCAGUUGGGUGUUUAUCCAUCAACCCACAUCCUUCCUUAAUUGAAGAUUACCCUUGGUUGCAGAGAUAAACAAGAGAACCCUCAAAAUUGAAGCAAACAGACCUCAGUGUGAAAGCAACUGGCUUGAAUGGGAACUGUCAGUUGUAGAUGCAGAUAGACUCAAAGGUAGGCCAGAGUGAUAUGUAACAUGGUAUUCAACAUCAUCUGCUUUACUUUCCUUGAAAAAAAAAAUAAAGAAAUCCAUAAAUGAAGCCACUUAUACAAAUACAUCGAAGC